AGUGAACGCUGGCGGUAGGCCUAACACAUGCAAGUCGAACGGCAGCACAGUAAGAGCUUGCUCUUACGGGUGGCGAGUGGCGGACGGGUGAGGAAUACAUCGGAAUCUACUUUUUCGUGGGGGAUAACGUAGGGAAACUUACGCUAAUACCGCAUACGACCUACGGGUGAAAGCAGGGGAUCUUCGGACCUUGCGCGAUUGAAUGAGCCGAUGUCGGAUUAGCUAGUUGGCGGGGUAAAGGCCCACCAAGGCGACGAUCCGUAGCUGGUCUGAGAGGAUGAUCAGCCACACUGGAACUGAGACACGGUCCAGACUCCGACGGGAGGCAGCAGUGGGGAAUAUUGGACAAUGGGCGCAAGCCUGAUCCAGCCAUACCGCGGGGUGAAGAAGGCCUUCGGGUUGUAAAGCCCUUUUGUUGGGAAAGAAAAGCAGCAGGUUAAUACCCCGCUGUUCUGACGGUACCCAAAGAAUAAGCACCGGCUAACUUCGUG
rnacentral:rRNA from 1 species